AUGUCGCCGUGUCCGGGCAGUCCCGGCCCACGGGCUCUGCACACCCACGAUGGCCACAGGAAUGAGGGAUUUUCUCACAGCACCAAUGAGCAGCUUCUGGGCUCUGCCCUCCUGGCCAGGAGCCUGAAUGUGAAGCAAUUUGGCUGCCAAAUGUCCGUAUUUAAACUCUGUGUAAUUAUUCCCCAGGAGCGCGUUCCCACGUGGAGGAGCAGCAGCCGUCGCCGAGCGUUCUCUGACUCAGCAGAAAUCGCUGGAAAAACGUUUGCUCACGGAUGGAAAUCUGCAGAGAGCAGGCAAAGGGGCAGGCACAGAGCAUUCAUGUCUGGUGAUGGUGAGAGAUGGGAUACAGGCCUGGCAGACACCUGGCACCACUUCACAGUGAGCACUGGGGAAGAAAAGAAAGAACCUGAAACCUUACCAACAACAGCACAUCAACAGUUCAGAAAGUCAAAACAUUUGGGGCAUGGCAGCUGCAGAAAGCAGAGGAGAGCUGCCCAUGCUGCUGAGCUUGAAGGGGAUUUGCCAGCCAAUGGAAUUUUGUUCAUCCCACGGCAUACCUGUGCAGCUGGAGUGAGGAGGGAGCACAUCCUCUGUGCCACUGGUCCAGCACAGCCCUGGAGGAACAGCUGAGCCUGCAGCAUCCCUAGGGACACUCUGCUGUCAGCACAGGUUUCUCCAACAAGUCCCUUGUGCCAAGUCCUGAGGGGGAAAAAAAAAAUCCUUCCAGUGCUGGGGAAAAGGAAGGCCAGAAGAAGAGCAUCCAGAUCAACCUGCCCUGGGGUCAUUUAUCAAAGCAGGCUCUGCCUGGGUGGUUUGGGAACAUUCCCACAUGCCAGGCUGCAGCAGGCAGCUGCUGUGCCCAGUCUGCAGCUGGUGUCUGGCACCAGAACGUGCUGGUUCUGAGAAGCUCCCAGGUGACAUUGUAUUCCAGGAAUGAUCUCAGGAAGGAUGAGCAGCCUGGGCAGCAGAACAGCUGCAGUGCUGGUCAAACCCUCUGGGGUGCAAGGAAAAUGCUUCCCAUAGGAGUGAGAGCUUGCAGGCCUGGGCAGGGUAAGUGUGGUGCAAGCACAGGUGAUUUCCUCUGCCAGAUGAGUUCAGGUCCUGAGGUCAGGGCUAAAGUGCUGACUUUUGGCAUUUCUUGCCUUAAAUUCUAGAGCUGCUCACCACACUCACAGAGACUGAAAUCCCUUUCUCCAGUGUCCACAGCAAGUUCUACAUGGUGAAUAUCCAGCUUCCACACCAGGAAGGUGUUCCUGGCUGGAAGGGGUGGCUGCUCCAGUUUGAGUUGAUUUCAGCUCUCUCCACAGCUGCCUCUGCAAUGCAUGGGCAUGCUUUGCCAUGCAGAACCUGCAUUUUGCACAGUAGAUCCUUUCAGAAGUGUGGAGUUCCAGACUUCCUGGAUGGAGAUGUGGAUGUUUAAAGCAUUCCUACAUCAUCUGAUCUCUUAUGGCCUAAGCAGACAGAGUGGUGACACAGUUUAGAGAGGGAUGGAGAAAACAGCUAAUUAAAGUUUGGAAGCCAAACUGCUUGAUUUGUUUUGAGCUCUUGGACUCCUCAGAUUACUUCAGGUGUGAGCCAGGUCUGGCAUUAGGUGAGCAGAUGGGUUUUAUGACUCCCUGGAUGCAGAGAAGAUGAUUAAGAGAGGGAAGCUUUGCAAAAACAGGAGCAGGACUUGUGCCUGGCUCCCACAUCUGCUGGCUGCAGCAAGUCCUCUGUGGGAUCUGGGGGCAGAGUGGGCUCCUCCUGAAGUAAGGGAUGGUGGAAGUGCAAAAGCACACCCAAAACCCCACCCAGGAGUAGUUGGGGACCACCUGGAGGGGGGGACAGAGCCCAGCUGGCAGAAUUCCUGUGGUGGAUUAUCACUAAACUUUUAGUUCAGUGCCAGCUUUUAAUUGUGGAAAGUGGGUUGUGUCUCUCAGAUGUACUGCAGAGAGUCUCCAGCCUGGGAAAGGCAGACAAAAACGAUUGUCUAGCUAUUGAAUAAAAUUCUG
rnacentral:lncRNA from 1 species